rnacentral:lncRNA from 1 species
CGGCGGCCCCGAGGACGUGGCCCUGGCGCCCUGCACCGCCGCCGCCGCCUGCGAAGCGGGCCCCUCCCCGGUCUACGUCAAGGUCAAGAGCGCGGAGCCGGCUGACUGCGCCGAGGGGCCGGUGCAGUGCAAGAACGGCCUCUUGGUGAGAACAGAUGCAAAAACUAUUGCUCAAGGAAAAUAAAGUGAAAACGAGGAAAAGCAAAAGAAGAUCUGGAGAGGGCUCUCACCUGACCACAAGCAUCCUGGAGCAAUGAGUUUCAGGCAGGAAGACUCAUCCUGAGCUGAGCUGCUUUUCUUGAAGUUGUGCAAGAACGUCCUGUUGGCUGGGGCAAAUUCAGUAUUUCUUUUCCUGGCCACUGUGCUGGAGCGUGAGGAAAGACUCUCCACCCUCACUCCCAGAUCCUGCAGGAGGCGUGAGAGCGGAUGGAGAUGGUGAGGAUGUCUAUUAAUAUGGUGUUUCCUGCAAAACGGUGCCCAUCUCAACCAUGGGUUGUCAACCAUCCUCGGUGUCUACAACUGCAAUUUACCUUUGAGGGCCCAUGAACUCUGAUUACCUGAAAGUCCUUAGGCCAGAAAGAGAAACCCCUGUCCCCCACCUCUCACUUUCACCUAUUUCUAGACCUUUUCUUACAGCAAUGCCUUGGCCCUCAGGAAGCAUCAGAUCUCAAACUGCAGGGUCUGGGGCUGAAGCUGAUGCUGGCAUGGGUGACUCAGAGUUCCUCUAUUAGUUCAAAUAUGUAAUAUCUUUUAGAGCCUAGGACUCAGGCUGGAGGCAAUUCCUUGGUGCCAGUUGGUUAAUACUUUAUGAAUAGUGGUGGGGGAGGGAAUGCCUUGGACUAUUAAUGUCCCCAUGGAUCUGGAUCCUGGAGAACUUCCAGUGUCCUGGAUGGAAUGUUCUGCUUGGCUCAUCUUGCCCAGAGAAGAGCCAGGAUAUGAGAAGAUGGGAGAGGGAAGGGGGAGGUGUGAAACGUGCUGGUGCUUCCUGUCCUCGUGGUGUGAUGGCUGCCCAGGCUGCUCCUUCGAGGCAGGACAGGAUUCCCAUGGGAGAUAUGAGGACCAUG